rnacentral:tRNA from 1 species
GUCAAGAUAGCCGAGUUGGUUUAAGGUGUUAGUUUCAGGUACUGGUUUGAAAGGGCAUGGGUUCAAAUCGGAGUUCAAAUCCCAUUCUUGACA